AGAGUUUGAUCAUGGCUCAGGAUAAACGCUGGCGGCGUGCUUAACACAUGCAAGUCGAACGAAGUUUUUCUUUCGGGAGGAACUUAGUGGCGGACGGGUGAGUAACGCGUGGGUAACCUGCCCUGUACAGGGGGACAACAGCUGGAAACGGCUGCUAAUACCGCAUAAGCCCUUAGCACUGCAUGGUGCAUAGGGAAAAGGAGCAAUCCGGUACAGGAUGGACCCGCGUCUGAUUAGCCAGUUGGCAGGGUAACGGCCUACCAAAGCGACGAUCAGUAGCCGAUCUGAGAGGAUGUACGGCCACAUUGGGACUGAGACACGGCCCAGACUCCUACGGGAGGCAGCA
rnacentral:rRNA from 1 species